GAGACGAGAGGGAGAACAUGCGUGACAGAGAGAACGCACUGGAAAGUCUCUAUCCUGAGACCUGAAGGAAUUUGGGAAGAAACCUGGGAAGAGGCAAUUCAAAGAGAGAUCCCCUCUACACGGACGGCUGGGGUUGCUACAGGAUCCAGAGAUAUUCCACUGAAGGAAUGGAAAGGUGUCUCUGUGGAGAAGCUGCCACAGCCAAAGUCGAUGAUGCAGACUCUUGUUUCACCAGACUCCAGCUGAACGAGAACAUUCUCCAGUCACGAUGGAAGAUGUUUUUGUGCAUAUCAACGGCUGCAUCGACCAGCUGCUUCAGGAUUUUCUAAAAUGAAUGGAGAAAUAACCGUGCUGGAAAGGGUUGAAACACAGUGUCUAAUUUAACCUAAAUAACAUAAUGCUGCAUAAACAUUUAGCAACUAAGCUAGCAUAGAGGGCUACUACAAACAAUUUCACUAACUAGCACUAGGCACUUCUUAGCUUGUUAGCACGUAUGCUGUUAGCUCCACAGCAACAAUAGAUGAUCACAUAUGAUCACGUCCUUCUUUGUUUAAGUAAGAUCUGUUGUACUCCGGCUAUGCAAAGUGUCAUCUUUUUGUUUGUUUGUUAUUUGUGUUUUAUGUUCUGUCUGUGGCUCCAUGUGAUCAUGAUCUGAGCGACAAAUAAAAUUAAAUGGAUAAUCUUUA